GUUAGGCUUCACUGAGGGAAUUAAGUGCGCCCAACCCGACCACGUGAUCAUUGUAGGAAGCAGGAUGUGAACACUUCCAGGAUCACACGUCUUCUCAUUUGAAGUGUGCUUAAGGUUCAAGAUGACCCAUGUAAGCUGUCAGCACUGGGGAGAGAUGCCUGGCCUGGGCAGUGUGGACCUCUGGGUCCUCCAGACUUUCCAGGUGCAGGUGGAGAUCCUCACCCUUGGUGCUACAAUCAGAUCAUUGAGCAGCAGAGGGAAGAAUGGACAGAUGGAGGAUUUAGUCCUGGGCUAUGAUGACUUGGAAGGAUAUGUGGCUGAUAAACGGUAUCUGGGUGCUGUGGUGGGCCGUGUGGCCAACAGGAUUGCACAGGGACGCUUUACAGUAGAGGGACAAGAAUACCAACUAGAUAUCAACAAUGGACCAAAUUCACUGCAUGGAGGCCUGAAGGCCUUUAAUAAGGCUAUCUGGUGUGCUACAGCAAUGAAAAGUGGAGUGCAGCUGAGUCUUACCAGCCCAGAUGGAGACCAAGGUUAUCCUGGAGAGGUUCAGGCAUCUGUUGCCUACACCCUACAGGGGGAAACCCUAACUGCUGAAUACCGAGCCAGGUCUACCAAAACAACCCCCAUUAACCUCACCAACCACUCCUACUUCAACCUGGCUGGACAGGGGGAAGAAAACGCAAGUUUGUUUUGUGAAGAUCCCUCCCACUCUGCCUACCUGUUUACUUCUGCUGUCUGUGGCAGGGUGCAGCAGAUAUCUACGACCACCAAGUGUUCAUUAAUGCACCGUCCUACCUUCCUGUGGAUGAUACAUCAGUUCCUACAGGAGAAAUCAGAUCAGUGGAAGGUACACCCUUUGACCUCAGAAAGCUGGUUCUCAUUGGCCCUCGACUCAAAGAAGUUCCAGGUCUGGGAUUUGACCACAAUUUCUGUCUGUCAUCACCCAGAGAUACCUGGGAAGAGAGACAUGUCGCCAGAGUCUGUCAUCCAGCCAGUGGCCGUGUCUUGGAUGUUUGGACCAACCAACCAGGAGUGCAGUUCUAUACUGCCAACUUCCUGGAUGGCUCUAUAAUGGGAAAGGGUGGGUGUAAAUAUGGAAAGCACAGCUCCUUCUGUCUAGAGACACAGAACUGGCCUGAUGCUGUCAACCAGCCUUCAUUUCCUGACUGUCUUCUGCAUCCUGGGGAGGAGUACCAUCAUGUCACUCGCUUCACUCUCACCACUGUCUGAUUUGCUUAAUGAGACAGCACAAUGUAUGUCACAUCAUGAGAACUUUCUUUUACAGAAGAUAAUACUGAAUUAUAUCCUAAGUAAUUCAUAUUUUACUGUAUGUGUGUAAUUUUGAAAUGUGUCAUUGUGUACAGUUGUAUUUUGGGGGCUGUCUGCCUUUAUAGUUUGUUGUUUCACCAAGUAAAGUACAUUUUUGGAUUUGACUAAUUUGGCAGAGCCAGUCAUUGCAGUCAACUUUGCUGAACUCGACUGAGCAGACAAUAUACUUUUACAUGAAUCUAUCUUUGUAAUGAAUCUGUGAUACAGUGCCACUGGAAACCAUUCAUGCCUAAGCCCCCACAAUGUCUCCUCCAUGUUAUUACUUGAUUAUACCUUGAAAUUAAAGCAGUCUACAUUCUUCAAUA